UACGUAGGGUGCGAGCGUUAAUCGGAAUACUGGGCGUAAAGCGUGCGCAGGCGGUAAUGUAAGACAGAUGUGAAAUCCCCGGGCUUAACCUGGGACCUGCAUUUGUGACUGCAUUGCUGGAGUGCGGCAGAGGGGAUGGAAUUCCGCGUGUAGCAGUGAAAUGCGUAGAUAUGCGGAGGAACACCGAUGGCGAAGGCAAUCCCCUGGCCUGCACUGACGCUCAUGCACGAAAGCGUGGGAGCAAACAGG
rnacentral:rRNA from 1 species